UGGAAAAGGAUGUGGGAUUUCGAAGACAGCUAGGAUGUUGGCUUAGAAGCAGCCACACAUUCAAAGAGUGCGUAAUAGCUCACUAGUCGAGAGGUCCUGCGCCGAAAAUUUCCGGGGCUAAAACACGAUACCGAAGCUUAGGAAUGUAGCAAUACAUUGGUAGAGGAGCAAUCUCAGAGUGCCGAAGCGCUACCGCAAGGAAGCGUGGAGUUCUGAGAAGAGAGAAUGCCGGAAUGAGUAGCGAGAAUGAUGUGAGAAUCAUCAUGGCCGAAUAUCCAAGGAUUCCAGGGUAAAGCUGAUCUGCCCUGGGUAAGUCGGGACCUAAGGCGAGGGAGAGAUCCGUAGUCGAUGGACAGCAGGUUCAUAUUCCUGCACCUGACAUGAUCAGAACUGUGGGGACACAGGAACAAAACCGGACCCGGGAGAGCAAAGACCGGGCGAAGCGAAGCUAGGAGUGCGGUAGGCAAAUCCGCCGCACAAUCCGAAAGCGUGAUAGGGAGCGAAAUAUAAGUAGCGAAGCCGGUGGAGGGACUGUCGAGAAAAGCCGCUAUUGUAUCAUGUCAGCCCGUACCGCAAACCGACACAGGUGGAUGAGGAGAGAAUCCUAAGGCCGGCGGGAGAAGCAUUGUUAAGGAACUCGGCAAAAUGACCCCGUAACUUCGGGAGAAGGGGUGCCACUAGAAAUAGUGGUCGCAGAAAAAAGGCUCAAGCAACUGUUUAGCAAAAACACAGGUCUAUGCGAAACCGUAAGGUGAGGUAUAUGGGCUGACGCCUGCCCGGUGCUGGAAGGUUAAGAGGAGAGGUUAGCGCAAGCGAAGCUUUGAAUUUAAGCCCCAGUAAACGGCGGCCGUAACUAUAACGGUCCUAAGGUAGCGAAAUUCCUUGUCGGGUAAGUUCCGACCCGCACGAAAGGCGUAAUGAUUUGAGCGCUGUCUCAACAAUGCACCCGGUGAAAUUGAAGUACCAGUGAAGAUGCUGGUGACCUGCGCCAGGACGGAAAGACCCCAUGGAGCUUUACUCCAGCUUGAUACCGGGAUUCGGUGUUACUCGUACAGGAUAGGUGGGAGGCUAAGAAGGAAGGACGCCAGUCUUUCCGGAGCCGCUGUUGGGAUACCACCCCUGUGGCACUGGAUUUCUAACCUACAUCCGUAAUCCGGAUGGGGGACAAUGUCAGGUGGGGAGUUUGACUGGGGCGGUCGCCUCCGAAAGUGUAUCGGAGGCGCUCAAAGGUUCCCUCAGGAUGGUUGGAAACCAUCCAAAGAGUGUAAAGGCAUAAGGGAGCCUGACUGCGAGGCUGACGGGCCAAGCAGAGUAGAAAUACGGACUUAGUGAUCCGGUGGUAUGAAAGUGGGAUUGCCAUCGCUCAACGGAUAAAAGCUACCCUGGGGAUAACAGGCUGAUCUCCCCCAAGAGUUCACAUCGACGGGGAGGUUUGGCACCUCGAUGUCGGCUC
rnacentral:rRNA from 1 species